GCUGUCCGAGCUGAGGCUGAGUGCAAUGUCUGAUUCAGAGGCAUUUCGCCGGAGUUGAGACCCGCCGCCACUGCAGUCUUUCCUUGGUGCGCUCGUGCUGCGCAGCCUCCUGCCAGAGUCCUCCUUGGUCAUGUCGAUGACCGUGCUGGCGCUCCUCGUGCUUGUGUGCCCACCAUCCUGCGCCAUUCACAUCUUUAAAGAGCUUGUUCUGCCAAUGCAUGUGGAAUGUGCAUCGAUAAAGCCACAAGCCAAACACAGGGUGACUUCAAGCCCGCAUAGUGUGCAUUUGCCGUUACCUCUCUAUGCCUGAUGGUAGGCCCAGGCCCGGCUGCACGAUCAGGCUUGGCAGCCUUCUGCUGCAGCUGCGGUGCAACUUCCUGA
rnacentral:lncRNA from 1 species